UACGAAGGGGGCUAGCGUUGUUCGGAAUCACUGGGCGUAAAGCGUACGUAGGCGGCUCGUUAAGUCAGGGGUGAAAGCCUGGAGCUCAACUCCAGAACUGCCUUUGAUACUGGCGAUCUUGAGACCGGGAGAGGUGAGUGGAACUGCUAGUGUAGAGGUGAAAUUCGUAGAUAUUCGCAAGAACACCAGUGGCGAAGGCGGCUCACUGGCCCGGUACUGACGCUGAGGUGCGAAAGCGUGGGGAGCAAACAGG
rnacentral:rRNA from 1 species